GGCAAAAAUACAAAAAACUAAAAUAUUAUUAACUUAAUAAAAUCAUCCACUACAUAAUCAUUUAUUAUCUUUACAAUUAACCAUCUAAAGCUACCACAGUUCUUCAAUCAAAGUAUAUAUCUACAUAUAUAGAGAGAGUACACUUCAUAAUUUCGUCCCUUGUCUUCCGUAAACGUAGCACAAAAAUUUGAUAACCAGUAUUGUAAGGUAGGUCGUAGAAGCAAUCUUCCUGCACAUAUUUAAAAAUAAUAACAAAGUCAAAAAAAUGAAGCAAAUAGGUCGACUAAACCUCAAAUUAGAACAUGAUACCAACUAAACCUCAAAUUUACAUCAUUUUUACUAACCAAGUUAUGAGCUUUAUCAAAUAUAAGUACAUUAUUGUUCUACUCGAUGCUCAAAUAUAAGUACAUUGUUAAUCUUUCAACAUGAAUGAACAAGGACCUGAACGGACAAAAUUAUGCUUAUAUGUGAAAUCAAGGUCAUAAUUAAAGUUUAACUUCAAUCUCCUGUAUACAAAUUCAAGGCCUCAUGCCAGUAAACAUUAAUAUACAUGUGCAUGAGUUACAAGUAAUACAACUAUCAUUCAAAAGCAAUAAUGAAUGAUAGUGUCCAAAAAUGAAACCUUUUAGACUCAACUAGUUUUAAAAUGUAGCAGAUUAGCAGUAAUGUCCCAACAAGAACAAAUGAGCAUACGAUGAACUGGAAACCUAAAGGAACAUGCAACAAAUGUAGUUCGAUAUUAAGGCUUCCAAAUAUAAUUUUGUUUCAUCCAUUUCCCUUUGAAUCUUCAAAAGUUUGGCCGCCUCCACAAGAUUGUGAAUAGUUGAAAAGUAAAAUGAAAGGAAAUGUGAUUCAAUUUAGCAAAAAAAAGACAACAAUGGAGAACAAUAACGCUAUGGUUUUUAUCAUUAUUAUUCAUAACAGUAAUAAAGAAACUUAAUACUCCUGCAAUUUGUUACUUAAACAUUUCUCAAAUGAAACCAACUCCUAUUGAGUACCAGUUCAGGGUAUUUGACACACACACACACAAAAAGUUUUAAUAGAAAAGAAAAAAAUUAUGGGCUUUCAUGAGAUGCCUUUUCAAUUACUCACCUUGAUUGCAGUACUACUUUUAGCAGCAAGAGCAGAAGUGACAGCUCAUUCUGUUACACCAUCUGAUUUGGCCAAGCCCGGCUAUCAAUCCACCUGUGGAGAUCUUACCAUCCCCUUCCCAUUUGGCAUAAGAUCGGGCUGCUACCUUGCAGACAAAUUUGAUUCUACAGUGUGAGGGACUAAAGAGGAAAAAUUAUCUAAACAAUUAAGUAUAAGACAAUUGAGUGUAUUAAAGAUAGACCAUAAUUUUUUUCUUACCUAGUUUUUUUUGAAGAUUUGAACAGAGCAUGAAGCCAUAAUCUCAUUGGCAUGUGCACUUAUAAAAGUAUAUCUAUACAAUGAAAAAUAAGUAAUUUUGCAUGAAAUGUGCUAAAGAAAAAAAGAUGUCAUGUCUGGACUAGUCAAUGUAUGGCACCUGAAUAAUAGAAUCCAUUGAGGAAAGAUAAUACAAAACAUGGAUUAGUCAUGCAGCAGUCUGGACUAGGAUUGGUCAGAGGGAAACUAAGGAAAUAUGUUUGCCUAUAAAAAUUCCUUUAAUCAAGUUAUCUCCAAAGAAAACAUGGGAAUGCUAUGCUUCAUUGGAGCAUCUGUCACAACUAUAAUCUCCGCGUUUGUGGUGAGCAUCUUAUUAGUUUCUUGAUGACAUUGAACUUUGUCGCUGAUAUAUUUAUUGAAUGUUGAAUACAUUCAACUGUUAACUAAGUCCAAAGAAAUAAGCAACAAUAUCAUUGAUUACAAUAAGUGAUGCUGGAAGAAGGAGCCUGCGUCAUAGCUAAACUGUUUGAAGUUCUUUCCUCAUCUUGUACUUGAAUGUCAAAGUAGAAUGCUCACAAUUCUAGUAAGUAUUUAAUGUAUAAUACUUUUAGAUACCAACUCAGGAAAAAGUUAAAAUCACCGAGUUAAAAUUCCAAAUAUAGAGCAAUAAGAUUCCACAAAGAUCCUAGACAAAGUUAACUUAUAAUUGCAACUACUCGUGGAUGAUGGAAGGAAUAAGAUUUGACAAAUAAUUCUUCACUUGUGAGACAAAAAAUUCUGUUAAACAUAAUACCUAUUAAUGUGUGAUACAUUAAAUAAAACAAAAGAAAAAUAAAUCAGAAAAACAUUAUAGAGGAGAGGAUUUACUUAUCAUAGUACAAGUCAUUCCUUGAGCAAUAUGCAACAGAUGCCAUGUCUCAUUAGGCAACAGUGACCUUUCCUGCAACUGCAAUCACACAAAUUGAACUAGUUGGGUUCCCCUAAGCUAGUUUCACAAUUCAUUUUUACUUGUACUGUGUUCAUAAAGAUAAAAGAGGUCCACGGAUAUAAACCGAGAAAGUUCGUUAACAAACCUCAAACAAUUCAUAUAGAUAAAUAUGUUAUUAUAUAUAUAUAUAUAUAUAUAUAUAUAUAUAUAUAUGUUAAUGAUAAUAUAUUGUUCUAUAAGCAAAAUAGUAAAUUCAUUAAACUGAAAAUACUACCAUAUCAAGUUCACAUGAUGGUGCAUAUUAAAAAUUCUCAAUUUAAUAAGCACCAUGUGUAAAGGAAAAUAUUACCGCAGACAGGAAGCUUUAAAUGCCAACAAAUUAUAUAAUAAUGAAUGUCUGAUAGUUCAGAAAAAGGUCAAACUAAUAGGUUCUGAAGAUUUUAAACCUGAUAAUUCUGACUAACCUCCACAUAAAUAAGGCCCAGCUCGAAUAAUUUUUUGUCUUUCAGUUAGUGACAUUUCCUCAAACACCUUGAAUGCAUAACAGUUUAUAUCCAUCCUAAUGGGGUAUGUAUACAUGAACCCCCAAUCAAUUAAACAGAAAUUGCUUAAAACGACUGGCAUUGCAUAAAACUACUACCACAAAAGUCUAUUAAAACCAUCAAUCUUGAGAUAUAAUUCAAAAGAAUUCUAGCUAAGCACUUCUAAUACAAAAAUAUUCAUAACGAAAAAGUAUGUUAAACAACCUAAGAAUCCAAAUUUGAGAAUAGGUUUAGACUACUUACAAAUAGAUAAGAAUCGAGAAUCUCAUGGGAAGAAGUUGUAGCAGAGGGACACCAUGAUUAUAGAAGAGGGAGAAACCACGAGUACGAAAUUCAGUAAAUCAAACCACUAACACCCAAUUACAAUGAAAUUAAGACAUGUAUUCGGUAUAUACACAUUAAAAUUUCAAUAUAUAGAGAAAGUGGAAUACCUUGUCAUCAACUGUUGGUUCUACAAUAAUUUAACGAUUUAGAGGGGAUUUUUGUCAUUACUCGCCAUUUCUCGCUGUGCUUUGUUUUUGUUUCCACCUCAGAGAUUGAUUGAUUUGGGGGAGACUUUGGGUCUAGUGAUAGGGGAGAGAAGAUUUUGGAAAUUUGGUGUAGAAAAAAAAGUGAAAAGCCCUCCUAGCUGCUUGCUGCUUGUUUUUCUUUUAUUU
rnacentral:lncRNA from 1 species